CAUUAGUGUAUAUUAAAGUUGUUGCGGUUAAAAGCUCGUAGUUGGAUUUCUGUUGGGAAUGUCCGGUCCGGUCUUCGACUGUGUAUCAGGUACAGCCUCGGCAUCCUCGUAAUCUUUUUGUCAUUGAUUUGACAUUUGGGUCGCGACUUUUACUUUGAGGAAAUUAGAGUGUUCACGGCAGGCAAACGCCCUGAAUAUAUUAGCAUGGAAUAAUAAUAUAGGACCUUGGUACUAUUUUGUUGGUUUCUAGCACUAAGGUAAUGAUUAAUAGGGAUAAUUGGGGGCAUUCGUAUUAACGCGUCAGAGGUGGAAUUCUUGGAUUGCGUUACGACGAACUACUGCGAAAGCAUUUGCCAAGGAUGUUUUCAUUGAUCAAGAACGAAAGUUGGGGGAUCGAAGACGAUCAGAUACCAU
rnacentral:rRNA from 1 species